rnacentral:rRNA from 1 species
CGACCGGCGCACGGGUGAGUAACGCGUAUACAAUUUACCUUAUACAGGAGGAUAGCCUUUAGAAAUGAAGAUUAAUACUCCAUGGCAUUAUGAUAUGGCAUCAUAUUAUAAUUAAAGAUUUAUCGGUAUAAGAUGAGUAUGCGUCCUAUUAGUUAGUUGGUAAGGUAAUGGCUUACCAAGACUUCGAUAGGUAGGGGUCCUGAGAGGGAGACCCCCCACACUGGUACUGAGACACGGACCAG